rnacentral:lncRNA from 1 species
CGCCAUGGAAACAACCGUACGCUGAGUAUGGAUAUACUCAGUGAUAUUACCAUAAUUCAAAUUAUAUCAACAAUAGUAAAAACAUAAAUAUUAAAAUACCUAACAAUUAAUGUCAUAUGUACUAAUUCAUAAAUCAAUGUAUUUUCUCAAACUUAAAUUUAUAUCACUUAUGAAUAUACAUUUCAUACUUUUCUCUUAUUAUCACAAUUCCAAUUUCAAUUCGUAAUUCAAUUUAUUUUUCUCGUUUC